UUCACACCUUACCCAUACCCACGCACAACCAUAGAAACCUAGUUUUCAACAAUUCGACAGACGUAUCUUUUUCAGCCAGUGCCGCCGUACACAACCCUAGCUGGUAACGAUCGUUAACAAUGUUAGAGGAAAAGAGGCGACGUGAUCUCAGGGGAACUGAAGAACGUACAUGUUACUCGAUCAUAACAUGUUGAGAAUUCAUAGGUUAUAACAGGUAUCCCGUGCAAUCUGACUGCACAUGGGGAUAUUCAACCUUUGCAAUCAUAAACCUUUGUUCAAGGUAUCAUGAGGCUGCGAAAUGCUUGAAAGUCUUCCUGGGAAAGAUUCUUGGAAAGCAAGCAUGGGAUACUUGAUCCGCAAGACACAGUCUCCAGAUUGCCUGAAAAUGUACUUCAACAUAUCAUGUCUUUUCUUCCGCCAUUAGACAAAGAUAAUGUUCGUUUUCUAUCGAGAGAAUGGCGCCGACGAAAUGCGCAAAACCAAACAGUGCUCUGGCUGACUAAGCAGCGGUUAAACGAGUUGGAAUUUCCAAAGGUUUUGAAUGAUGAGUUCCACUCAGUAGAUGAUUAAAUGCCUGGGGAUGAGAAACCUGAAGCUUGUGAAUUUUAAGCUAUUAAUUGUUCACUUGAACCGCUGUGGAAGCUUGAAGAAUUUGUACCUCAACACACCAAAUCUUAAAACUUUAUACUUCCAUGGACCGCGUGGCAAACCAUGCACGAUUGAGCUUAUUAAUUGCAAAAAGUUAAUGAAUUUGCAUUUAGUUGGGGUUGCUAUGAACACUACGAUGUUCGUAAACUGCAACGAAAGUUUUCCGCUUCUUCAGAUGUUGACACUUGCUGGCUGUGCUAUGAGUGGAUGUAUUAACAUCUCAAGUAAUUCUCUCCACGAGUUAUGGUUUAUUGGAUUCAAUAAGCCCAUGGGUCUCACCAUUGAUGCCCCAAACGUAUCAUCUUUCAAGUACAAUGGCAUAGCUCCUUAUCAAAACAUCAACUUACCCCGUGUUGCUAUAGCUUAUGUUGAGCUAUAUCCUAAUCUGAACCAAAAGCGUGAAUGUUAUUUUAGAAUGUGGCCCAAUCAGUUAUAAUUCAAGAUUCUAAAAGAAAAGAUUGGGCAUUUGAUUUUAGAAUGUGGCCCAAUAAGUAGUACAAUUUCCCGAUAUGAACAUAAGGUUUUUUUAAGUUAGCGAUUUAUGUGUUGGUGUAGGGUGUGAUGCAGCUGAUGGGUUUUUAAGUGAUUGGUGGGGGGUAUUCUGGGACCAUUAUACUUCAAAGACACAUGCUGAUUCUAAUGCUGGUCAGGAUAUAUCACGGAAUCCUCUGCGCAGGUGAUCAUUAAUGGCUCAAGCUGAUUUUCAGGGCCUGUCUCAAGCCCAGGCCCAGACUGAGAUUCUGGCUCAUGUGUGGACUUUAGACAACAAUGGGAUGUUAGGUUUGGAUCCUUAUGCUGGUACAUUGGGACCAAUAUGGUACAAGAAUACUAUGCUAACAAUGUGAACAUGCUGAGUGAGCCUAUGCUGACUUCUACAUGGAAUGAUGAUCAGUUUGCUGGAAAAGGAGGUCCCUGAAGGUCUAAUCACAGGUGGCAGUAGAAAACAAAGUCAAUGGUGGCUUUUACUGACACUAGUUUGCUGGAAAAAGGUUGCUGGAAAAAGGAGCUCCCUGAAGGUCUAAUCACUCUUGAAGAUAAUCCUUUCUUCUAUCUCAAUAUGGUGUAAUUGGUUCUUGUCAUUCAAAACUAGAAACAAGUGUAGACGGUGUUUGUUUUUACCGCGAAUACAAUUGGCAAACUUAAUUUUUCA